UACGUAGGGGGCAAGCGUUAUCCGGAUUUACUGGGUGUAAAGGGAGCGUAGACGGCCAGACAAGUCUGAAGUGAAAAUCCAGCGCUUAACGUUGGAAGUGCUUUGGAAACUGCCGGGCUAGAGUGCAGGAGGGGCAGGCGGAAUUCCUAGUGUAGCGGUGAAAUGCGUAGAUAUUAGGAGGAACACCAGUGGCGAAGGCGGCCUGCUGGACGAUGACUGACGUUGAGGCUCGAAAGCGUGGGGAUCGAACAGG
rnacentral:rRNA from 1 species